rnacentral:rRNA from 1 species
AACGAACGCUGGCGGCAUGCCUAACACAUGCAAGUCGAACGAGACCUUCGGGUCUAGUGGCGCACGGGUGCGUAACGCGUGGGAAUCUGCCCUUGGGUUCGGAAUAACAGUUAGAAAUGACUGCUAAUACCGGAUAAUGUCUUCGGACCAAAGAUUUAUCGCCCAGGGAUGAGCCCGCGUAGGAUUAGCUAGUUGGUGAGGUAAAGGCUCACCAAGGCGACGAUCCUUAGCUGGUCUGAGAGGAUGAUCAGCCACACUGGGACUGAGACACGGCCCAGACUCCUACGGGAGGCAGCAGUGGGAAUAUUGGACAAUGGCGAAAGCCUGAUCCAGCAAUGCCGCGUGAGUGAUGAAGG